GGGGAUUUAGCUCAGUGGUAGAGCGCUUGCCUGGCAAGUGCAAGGCCCUGGGUUCAGUCCCCA
rfam:Rattus norvegicus chromosome 1, whole genome shotgun sequence.